rnacentral:rRNA from 1 species
UAUUGGUCAAUGGCCUAACGGCUGAACCAGCAACUUGGAGGAAUGUAUAGGGAAAGCUGGUAAAAUGUGAUGUACCUAAUAGUAUUAGCGAUUAAUAUGAUAUUAACUAAGUUAAUUAAAAUUCUAUGUAAAUAUUGAUUAUGACAGUAUUUGCUUAUGUCUUGACCAAAUCACGUGCCAGCAGUCGCGGUAAGACGUGGGAGAUAAGUGUUAUUCAUGUUUAACAGGUCUAUAGGGUACCUAGACGGUUAAUUAAACAAUUAAAUGUAUUAAAUAACUAGAGUUUGAUAUAAGAAAGAUUGAGUACGGUGAGUGAAGAGAUAAAAUUCUAUUAAACCACUUUGGAACUGGUAAAGGCGAAGGCAACUUUCUAUCUAA